rnacentral:rRNA from 1 species
AACGAACGCUGGCGGCAUGCCUAACACAUGCAAGUCGAACGAGACCUUCGGGUCGAGUGGUGACGGGGGGCGUAACGGGUGGGAAUCUGCCGUUAGGUUCGGAAUCACUCGCGGAAAGGGGUGGUAAUACCGGAUAAUGUCUUCGGAGCAAAGAUGUAACGCCUUUGGAUGGGCCAGCGUUGGAUUAGCCAGUUGGUAGGGUAAAAGACUACCAAGGCGACGAUCCAUAGCUGGUCUGAGAGGAAGAUCAGCAACACUGGGACUGAGACACGGCCCAGACUCCUACGGGAUGCAGCAGUGGGUAAUAUUGCACAGUGGGCUAAAGCCUGAUCCAGUAAUGCCGCGUGAGUGAUGAAGGCCUUAGGGUUGUAAAGCUCUUUUACCCGGGAUGAUAAUGACAGUACCGGGAGAAUAAGCACCGGCUAACUCCGUG